UACGUAGGGGGCAAGCGUUGCUCGGAAUUACUGGGCGUAAAGGGCGCGUAGGCGGCCCACAUAGUCAGGCGUGAAAUUCCUGGGCUCAACCUGGGGGCUGCGCUUGAUACGUGUGGGCUUGAGGACAGGAGAGGCUCGUGGAAUUCCCAGUGUAGAGGUGAAAUUCGUAGAUAUUCGCAAGAACACCAGUGGCGAAGGCGGCUCACUGGCCCGGUACUGACGCUGAGGCACGAAAGCGUGGGGAGCAAACAGG
rnacentral:rRNA from 1 species